UGCCGCAAAGAACACGUGUGCUGGCCUACUGCGCAUCCUACUCGCGCAGUUUACCAGAGACCAUGGACAGUGGCACAGCUUGUCGAUCGCAAAGUAAAUUUUUUUAAUUACUUCACUUAAUAUUGCGUGUAAUCAGUGUGCCGUGAUACGUAGUUUCACAGACAAAGUGCAAAGGACACGUUAUUUCCUUGGUAUAUGUAAUUUCUAUUAAUAGUAGCACCUUAGACAAGAAAAUAAAGAGUCACGACGAGCGUUUAAGGUGUCAAGCGAAAGAAGAGCCUAACAACUUGAGUCAAAACAGUGCAGAUCUCAAGGAACGCAAUUCGUUACGAGAACACGGUGAAAUGGAAGUGAAAUUGUGGCGAGUAUUCCACGAAACGAGUUCUCGACGAUUACCUUCACUCCGCUCGAUGAUGUGUUUCUAAUUUCCUCUUGCUCGCUUCGUCAACAAAAUCUUUUAGAGUGCACCCACAUUACCAAGGCCAGAGAGACGAGGAGACCUAAAAAGAAGGAGACGGAGGGACCUGAAAUGAAAGAGACGGAGAGGAAAGGUUGAAGAAGAGCGGCGCGGGGACUGGCGAUAGCUCGAGAGGAGGAACGAGAGCGGAAAACGACGAUGAGCUCUAAUUGGAUUAAAAUUUCAUCGACGACGGGAGACACUCGCGCACAGUUUUGCCAGCACUCGAACUUUUCGUGGGUUCCACGGAGGUUCGGCUCUCGACUUUCACGUUGGAUUACGAAAUAAUAGCCGGUGCGGAUGGUGGUUGGACUAGCAAGUGUGUCACGCGAGUAACAUCCAACCGCUUAUAUAUAUAUAUAUAUAUACACGUAUAUACUCCCCUGGGAAUCCGCGAGACCAGAGAAAAAGUUAAUGGCUUCGAAACGAGAGCAUAUCGCCUGCACGCCGAACCUCUAAUUUUUCGCUGAAUUGGACAAUCUGUUUAGGACUUCUCUUUCCCGACGCGACGGUCGAUCGACCGCGUAACGUAAUGAGGUUGUACUCGAAUAUCCGUGAAAAUGCCACCCUCGUUCGCGUAUGCCCGUUUCGCGAAAGUGAACGUGCAAGUCGUUCGACGAAAUUACCAGCCACGCGAAGGGCUUGAAAAGUUGUGUUUGACAAAUGAUGUAGUAGGUAUGAUAUAAGUACAGGUUAUCGUAGGCAAUUGAUUAUCGAUUUUUAAAUCCUUUCAACGACUUUCUUCCCGUUCGGACAUAUAAUUUAGGAAAUAUUCGCGUGUUGAUGGUUGCUGGUUUUUUGUAAUUGAAUGUGUAUUUGAUACGUGGUACUGAGCGGGAUUUUGCGUCUACUAGUGAAAUUAUACAGUAGGUGAAAUAUAUGUGAGUAAUGAAUAGAAUUGGAGAAAUAUAAAGAUUGGAUAAGAAAAGGUUCUUGAUGUACACUAUUUUUAUUUUAAUUAUGAAACACUAAAUAAUCUGUUCAUAUAAAUGUAUUUCCUGGGUUGUAGAAUUUUCUAUGCAUAUUCUCUUUACAUGAAUCAGUACAAGAAUUAUCUUCAAAAUUUUAUGAUUUUUAAUUUGGACCAAGCACCUGAAUCUACAUCACACUUCAAAAUUUCUGUUUUUGAUCUUCUUACAAUUUACCUCUUAAAACCUCACAUCUGGAAUCAAUUCAUUAAGUGAAUAAUUCCACGCGUAGAAUUUCCGAAUUAUUAACGCUUAAAAUGUUACUAUACAACACGAUCAUAAUCGUACUUCCAUAAAGACGACCCUUAAGUCAGUGCAUUAAAAUUCCCAAGCGAUCAUAAAAAGGAAAUUCCUGGCAGAACGUUCACUAGCAUUCUUAAAUUGCAUUUGGACCACGUAGCCGUAGUCUUUCUACGGAUCAUGGUCGGACUUUUAUCAGCCGUGGCACGUUUCGUGCCAAGCUAUAGGCAUUCUUUAAAGACAUUUCGACUAACUUCACGCGGCUUUUUACCACGAUCCACAGCUCGAGUCGGUGUUUUAGCCGCGUUUUACGAGCAAAAUAGAACGAGGGUGUCAAGCACCAUUACGCUUUCAUUGGUACCCUUCAUGGCUGUCGAACGCUUUUUUCCCACCUAAAAGACAUAUGGACUCGUAAAAAUGAUGUUCUUUUCUUUUUUCUUUUUUGUUUUUUUCUUCUUACUUGGUUUCCUCAGAAUCGUCGGGACGAGAUUUUAUUACGGUGAUUUCGACCAACAUCACGCGUCUACGAAUGGUUUGGUGCUUUGACGAUCGAGAAUGGGAAACGUCUCGUCUGGUCCGAUUCUCGAUUUGUAGUUUUACUUUUUUCCCCCCCUUUUCCAAGAUUUUCCCAGCGACCUUUCUCCUUGUGGCGUUAUUUCCUUUUGUCGUGAACUUUCGUGGAACGUUAGCGGAUCCGUAUGAAAAUAUCACCGGCGAUCUCCUUAUUUCCGAAGUACUCUUAGAAUUUUUAUGAACUGUUAGACCGACCUUCGCAACCAAGAAGAAUUAUUGCUCGCGACCGAAGGUUUGAAAUUUUGGUCGUACGAUGUUCAAGUGGCUGAGUUUAAUCGCGAAACCGUUGUUUGAGAAAUUCUUCGUCUGAAAACGUAAUAUCGAUAUGAUAUUGUAAAACUUGUAUUUUAUUUAUUCAGGGAACAGAGACAAUUUAAAGAAAAUUUAUGAUAAUAUUACGCGCAAAGUUUCAGUUUCUUCAAACUUUGGCAAACUACACCAUCUAUGCGUACCAUGAAACAGUAACGGCAAAUUAGACGAAUCUUUGAAAUUUCGUUCCGUAGUUACAAUAUUAAAAAAAUAGUGUUCAAUAGCGUAAAUUUACUGAAAAAGAAUUGUGUGGAAAAUAUUGUAUUAACAUAGCACUGGAUUUUAGUAGAUUAAUUAUAUCCCAGAGUAAAGUAGUUACAAGUGUGUUACUGGGCUUUUUAAAUAAAUUACAUCCACUCGCGACGAAAAGAAACGAAAUUUCGCAGUGCAUAAAUUACGAUUGCGUUUCCACGUUCGUUGGCACUGCUGGAAGCAAUUUCCUUUCGGCACAAAAGAGAAAUGGAUGAUUUCAAUUUCGUAGUCGAUAAUGUAUAGACAGGAGAACGGUAUUACAGACCAUUACUCUCUGUUCCUUCGAAAAUCUCGGUACUAUACUUGCAAGCUAUACCGAUCAGCAGAAUCUUGGCUAAGAAUGUUCUUUUCAUGCUCUUUCUUCUGUCCCUUUUUCUCUGGCCCUCCUUUCUUUCUUUCUUUCUUUCUUUCUUUUUGUUCGUACUCACGCUUUCCUCCCUUCGAAAUCCAUCCCAAUGAAUUGUCUGGAAGGGAGGGAAACUAUAGUUGGUCCAACGAUGAUAAACUUUUUCUGCGUAGCUACAUGGAAAAUCGAACCAGUGAAAUUCAUACGGAAAAACGAGACAUUGGAUUCUGAAAUGGAACAAUCGUUUCCGUUUACAUUCGGUACGCCAUGGAGAACAGAACUGUCAGUUGCGAAAUUUCAUACAUGAGUUUGUAGGCAAACAAUGCUAGUUUAAUACGUUAACCCUGGAAAAUGGAAAAUACAAAAAGAAAAUUUUGUCGGUAGUUAGUAGUCAAUAGGCAUGGAAAAAUUUCAAUACGAAAGCGUGAAAAUUUGAUAACAAAAAGGUUCGAAGAGCUUAAGCUUGAAAAUUUGAAAAUUUGAGCCAUUGAAACAUGGAAAUGCUACGAAAUUUGGAAAUGAAAAUUUGGCAAGUUUAGGAAACUGGAUAUAAUACUUUGAAAAUUUAUUUUUCUGAAUUCGCGAAAUCUUAAAGUUUAGUACUUUGAAAAAUUGAAUGUUGGAAAAUUUGAGAGCUUGGUGCUUUGGAAGUUCAGGAACUUGGCGCUUCGAAAAUUCAUAGAUUUGAGAGUCUGAAACCUGAAAAAUUAAAAGAUUUGGAAGUGUAGAGCCUCGGAAAUUUCAAAAAUUCCAGGGAUUUAAGAGCUUAAAGCAUAGAAGAUUUUGAAAUACGAAACAUAAGAAAUUUCACAACUCAGUUAUCAAAUUCUCAAUUUGUAAAUAUUCAAAACCGCAAGGAAUUUCUGUAUCUUAGUAAAUUUAUCUUUGCACCUCCAUCUAUGUGUCUUUGCAAUUAUACGCGCGAUUUCAAUUAAUUCUGGAGAAUGUGAACUCUGCGCGAAACAGCGAUAGAAAAAGAGAAUGUGCCCGGCAGGCGCACUUUCUCGAACGAAAGGUCGAAUGGAAUUGUCUGGGGAUUCCGGUAGCGAGUUAAUGGAUGCAUUUUCCGCGACUUUGCUAUUUUUUUUAUAGAUUUUACCGAAUUUGCAUAAGCGUUGAAAGGGCCGCCCAGUUCUUGUUUGCUCAGUGACCGGACCUUAAUUGAACAAUCCGAUCAAUUAGGCCGAGCGACGUGAUCUUUGCAUCGCGAAUACACCUGGAACUUUCCCCGUGGAUUAAUUAACGGGGUACACCCCGUGAGCGAGGAGGAUUGGCACCAAUUUAUAAAGAGAACUAAUUAAUACAUCCCGCUCAUUAACGGUACACGGGAAAAUUAAUGUCCUCACGCCCUUUGAGAGUACAAAUAAACGACGCUAAAGCUCUCGUUCAACUUCCUGUAAUUUCACAUCCCUCGAAACUUUCGAUUUGGAAUCGCGUCGACCUUUUUAUCAUAAAAACUACUCGAUUUCACGCUUAAUUGAUCCUUUUUAGAACACGAGAACGCGUCUCGAAAAACCAGAUCUUGCUGUUCUUUUUGUAAAGUAACUCGAAUUUUUUGCAUUGACAACGAAAUUGAUUUUUGUUUGAUGAUUGGACAGAAUGUAAUUAUUUUCGAUUGCUUAAAA
rnacentral:lncRNA from 1 species